AUAUAUGUCUAAUGUUGCUCCUCUUCACUUGGAAAUGAGAGUUUAAGCCACAUUGUUUCCUAAGUACUGGGAGCAUCGAUCACAGAACAGAGCAGAAAGCAUGGAAUGGGAAUGUUUGCUUGCUUGUUUCCCUUUGUUCUCUGUGGGAACAAUAUUAAUGGAGUAGAGAAAGGAUCAUUCAAAGAACUUUUCAGUAGCCUGAAGUAAAGCUCAGGUCUCAGAGCCUCUGUUAACCAUGCUAUAACUUCUUUUUUUACCUAAUCGCCUCUUCAGUCACAGUGGCAUAAAAUGGGCUGUCAUUACAGUCUACCUUUUUUGCUCCAAGGCAAAUUCUUUCCAUGUUUCACAGCACCUGUUUCUCAAGAUCUACAUUACAAUUUGGGGAAAUGUGACUCUCCUACAGAUCCCAUCUUUGGAAAAAGCAAAAGCAUUUUCAUCUUAGAGAUAGCUGCUUUAAAGGAACACAACUGUUCACUUUUAUAGCCUGCAAUUGACUGGGAACUGUGAGCUGUGGAUGUUGGUCUGCUAUUCUGCUCAGAAUGGGGCCUGAUGGAGAGGGGACUAUUCAAGAAAAAGGAAGACGUGGUCCAAACUUCUCCAUGAACAAAAGGAGGUUUCCAUAUUGGUCUUUCACACACUACCAUCCUGCUUUCACUAAUAAAUAUAUCUCACUGUGAUUUAAACAGAAGAAGAAUAGCACGUUCUGCUCUGUUCUUGGUGACGUUUGCAAGUACCUACUCUUGAGAGAGCACCUUAGCCUCUGCUGCCUCUGUGGAUGAAAGCUACUUCAGGAAUAUAAACUCAGCAGAGGUAAGAGGAUAUUGGGUUUCCUAAUCUGCAUUUAAUCUUUCUUGUCAGUUUUAGACACCCUGUUGCUUAUGAGGUGGUAUAGCUAAACUGAAGCAGCUGCUGCAAGUCCAGACAGAUCUGUUUUUCCACCUCUGUUCCCUCCUUUAAUCUAUGUGCUACAGUUGUCUCUCAGUUGGCACUGGUGUCUGGCUGGUCCUGCAGAGAAACUGUUCCAACUUGCUGCCAAUCUGGUUCCAUGAGCUGCCUUUCCAUGGCACCAGACAGCCUUGGAUCAAGUGCUCAGCCUGGGGAAGGCGGUGGGACUGCUGCCUCUUUUGGCAGCAGGUGGAGAUGAGAUACCUUUGAAGUACUCCCAAAUUGCCCUUCUGUGCAUAGGGGGUUUUGAAUUAUGUUUCUGCCAUGCCAAACUCAAAUUUUAACUACCC
rnacentral:lncRNA from 1 species